rnacentral:rRNA from 1 species
AGAGCGAACGCUGGCGGCAGGCCUAACACAUGCAAGUCGAACGGACCCUUCGGGGUUAGUGGCGGACGGGUGAGUAACACGUGGGAACGUGCCUUUAGGUUCGGAAUAGCUCCUGGAAACGGGUGGUAAUGCCGAAUGUGCCCUUCGGGGGAAAGAUUUAUCGCCUUUAGAGCGGCCCGCGUCUGAUUAGCUUGUUGGUGAGGUAAUGGCUCACCAAGGCUACGAUCAGUAGCUGGUCUGAGAGGAUGACCAGCCACAUUGGGACUGAGACACGGCCCAAACUCCGUACGGGAGGCCAGCAGGUGGGGAAUCUUAGCGCAAGUGGGCGAAAGCCGUGACGCAGCCAUCGCCGCGUGUAUGAUAGGAAGGUCUUAAGGUAUUAGUAAAA